rfam:Oryza brachyantha chromosome 1, whole genome shotgun sequence.
UUUAUAUGACGUCGUUGACUUUUAAGUCUACGUUUGACCAUUUGUCUUAUUCAAAAAAAUUAUAUAAUUAUUAAUUAUUUUGUUAUAAUAUAAUUUAUUAUUAUAGGAACUUUAAGUAUGUAUUAUAAUUUUAUAUAUUUAGAUAUAAAUUUUAAAUAAGACGAAUAGUCAAACGUAAUCCUAAAAGUCAACGGCGUCGAACAUA